UGGUUAUCAGGUAAAAAAAUAGCGAUUUUUGUGAAAAAAUGUGUUUUUUAGUUUAUCAGCCAACUUUGUUUAAAAUUUAAUUGGCUUUUUAACCAUAUAUAACAUGAUAUGGGUUAAUUAAUAAAAAAAUGUAAAAAAAUUGUUUUAGUUGGUAAGAGUAAAAAAAAUUUACUUAACAACCGCAUAGCAACCAAUAAUUUUUUAUAGAUAUAUUACCCAAAGACCUAGAUUUAAACAAUUAUUUCUUUUCAUGGGUCUGUAUAAUUAACUAAACUUUUGAACCAGAGUUAUUUUUAGCAAAGCCGUAUGUUUUGAUGUUAUUUGUUAAGCAGAAAGAAAAAAGUUUAAAGUUGCCUGGAUGGCGCAACACAAAAUCCAAAUGAGGCUUUCAACCAGAUAAUCUGGAAAAAGUGUCCAAAAAAUAUUUUUGUUACUAAAAAGCUCUUGCCUGGAAGUUUUAUGAUCCAAGGAUCGUGGAAGAAGGACGUAUCAAGAGUAAAGAACACGAUUAAAAAUUCAACUCCAAAGCAAAAAAGGGCUAGAAGGAAAAGGAGAUGUAUCAGGAAGGGUUAUAUUGAUAAGGAGAAAGAAAAAGAGGGAGUAGACUCUUAUAUUACAGGAAAUUUUUAAUUAAUAAAUUGUUUUUAAACUUUGAA
rnacentral:lncRNA from 1 species